rnacentral:rRNA from 1 species
UCUGUAGGUGGUUUAUUAAGUCUAGUGUUAAAGAUCAGGGCUUAACCCUGAGUCGGCAGUAGAAACUGAUGAGCUUGAGUACGGGUAGGGGCAGAGGGAGUUCCCGGUGUAGCGGUGAAAUGCGUAGAGAUCGGGAAGAACACCAAUGGCGAAAGCACUCUGCUGGGCCGAAACUGACACUCAGAGACGAAAGCUAGGGGAGCGAAUG